UGUUAUGAACGUCCUUGAAUAGAUCUCUGCUCGGCAUAACGUCAGAGUUGACACAGAAUCUGUUGGAUAAAAGAACUGGAAAAAAUCAACAUAACCAUCAAGCAAUGUACAACAUAUUCGUAUUCUUCCUGAUAUGCACAGGCAAGUUUGCAUUAGCUAUACGUAUUCAAAAUUUACCAUGUUUUACUGAUGAAUCCCAAACGGAUUUGGAAGAUGCUAGAAAAGAACUUACAACAGUAGAUAAUUACCUUGAAAAGACCGUGAGGAUACUGACAGAUGAGUUCCAGAAAACACUAAAUAUCAUGAAAAACCAAUUGGUGGGAAUGCAAACCAACGUCAGUAACAUAGUUAAAAAAGUGGAUACUGACCUUAUUCUUAUGUCGAAAGAUUUGGAAGGUCAAUGGACAAAGUAUCAAGGUCAUUGUUACCACUUUUCUUCAAAGGGUAAACCCUGGUAUAAAGCCGAG